rnacentral:rRNA from 1 species
UUUCCUACGGGGGGCUGCAGUAAGGAAUAUUGGUCAAUGGACGCAAGUCUGAACCAGCCAUGCCGCGUGAAGGAAGACGGCCCUACGGGUUGUAAACUUCUUUUGUACGGGAAAAAACCACCGGUCGAGUAUCGGUGCUGAUGGUACCGUAAGAAUAAGCAUCGGCUAACUCCGUGCCAGCAGCCGCGGUAAUACGGAGGAUGCAAGCGUUAUCCGGAUUCAUUGGGUUUAAAGGGUGCGCAGGCGGAAUGAUAAGUCAGUGGUGAAAUCCUACAGCUCAACUGUAGAACUGCCAUUGAUACUGUUGUUCUUGAGUACACUUGGAGUGGGCGGAAUGUGUCAUGUAGCGGUGAAAUGCUUAGAUAUGACACAGAACACCGAUCGCGAAGGCAGCUCACUAAAUUGUAACUGACGCUCAUGCACGAAAGCGUGGGGAUCAAACAGGAUUAGAUACCCCAGUAGUCC